rnacentral:lncRNA from 1 species
AUGAAUUAGAAUUUUAUCACUAGUUUAGAAAGCUAGUAAGAAAAUAGUAUGUCGUCACACUAACCAUUUUUUGUGAUGAUUCUAUAAUGACAAAUAUAAUGAAUUGUAACAAUGACUCAGCUUUGAAGUAGAAGUAAGUUUAUGAAUUAUUUAGAAUCGGUAAAAUAGCUAUCAUUUAUACCUUUGUCGAUUUCAUUGUCACUAUCAGGUAUUAAUGUACUCACAGCCAUCACUUUCACAGUCU